GUUUCAUCGAUUGGCAUUGCCGGCAUCGUCCGGAGGAGAGUGUGAGCGGGGUCCGUGAACUCUGCGCCGACGGCGCAUCCCGGUUUUCAUGGUCAUGGGUAAGAGGGCGGUUUCCCUCGACGGAGGGAGGCCGAGAGUCGCGUCCUUUGCCUCGCGCGACUCGCGAUCUGGGACAAUUGUCGUAAUAGUAUCACUGAUAUCGUUAUUCUCGUCAUUCCUUCUCUCCCCUCUGAAGCCUCACAUUCAAAUCGAACGAAAUGUUUUAGCGUUCUAGUCGGAAACACGCAUUCAAUACGAAUUUGAAUUUCAAUGCCGAGCUGAAAUGAUGUUCCAUUCACGGUUCUGAUGUUAUAAUACGCUUUCUAUCCGUUUAAUUACGAAUGGACACGAAAUGAACUGAAGGAGAAAUAAGGCCGUCACUAUCCGUAUGCGAGUCCCGCAACUCUCAGGAAAACGAAGGUAUUGUCCGGCUGACGUGGCGAGAUGUAAUAGAAUAUCUUGGGUCUUGGGUGUAUGACGGGUGGGCUCGCGAGACAGAAACGGUCUCGCGAUCUGGGAGACGCUAAUCGCGAGCAAGCCGAGCCGGGUAAAUGCAAUUGUCGAGCAUGGAAGCGCGCGAUUCGCGACGGCGGAGUUGCGCUUAUACAGAAGCCUAGGUCUCCUCGUUCGCCUUGAAACGCUCGGGACAUGAUAAAAUGCAAAUGAAACGCCCGACACAGCGUUUCUCCCUUAGGAAAACGCAAAACGUGGGGAAAUUGCCAUAAUCGAAUUCGACAAAUAAAGAGUAAAUCCGUAAUUUCUAACUGCGAGUUUUCUUGAAAUUAAGAAAAUGUGAUAUAUUAACGUGAGGAUUAUAUGAUUGAAAAUUGCAAUGUAUCUAAUAUCUACUAAUCGUAAAGUUAAAAUAAGGUAAUUAAUGUUUAACUAUAUUUCCAGAAAUUAUUCUAUGAGCGUAAAAGGUCAGCGCCGAAUGUGCGAUGCAUAAGCACAGAAAACGAGUACUGGACACUACUGGACCGACGACGACGACGACAACGAUGAGAGGAAGACGCAUAUGCACGCUCCGCGUGCGUUGUAUGCAUCUGUCAAAACCACGCCCUUAUCCCCAUCCUGUUGCCUCGCGCUAUUCGCCUGUAUACGAAGGAGGAGCAAGGAAGUUAUCCGACAGGCUUUCCACGAUUGAAACAAUCUGCCUCCCUUCGAGAGAGCGAUCGAAUUUAAUUACCGUUAGCAGCUCUAAUUGGACAUGUUAAAGACUAAAUUACAUUUUGAAAAUAAUUCUUUGAACAAAUAGGAAUAUACGGCGAAAUGCAAAAAAUGACAGUAAAGAUAACACGAUAAAGAAAAAUAUCGAGACGUGUCCUAUGAUAACAUAUAUGAAGCGAACGAAACAGGGAGCGAUCGAUGAAUAAGUUUUAAUACGCUGUCUAAUUUUACGUUUGACACAUUUGCGUUUCCAUAAACACACAUUUGUGGAAAGUAGUAUCCUUAGAAUUAAUCCUGAUCGCUCUUUCGGAGCGUUUCAAAUUGGUCUGAUCAAAAACGCUAUGAAUUCGUACGAUACAGUCCACUAAUUAAUUCGGGCUCAUUAAUUCACGUUCGUUAAUCUUAUCCUUAUGCAUAUGUAUAAUUGCAGCGAGAUAUAAUACGGUACGUAUAAGGUAUCACCCAAGUAACAAGUAUAUAUAAAAAAUCCUUGUCGGUGAGCGACAAAAGGUCUAGUUCCCACGUUUUAAUAAUAGGCAUUUUAUGGCGUUGUAAUUUUAGGGAAAUAUACGGUAAUGGGUAUCGUAAUGAUAUAAAGCAGUUACGAUGGAACGAUCAUUAUUAUAACGGUAAAUCACUCAUUCCCGGUUCGUCCGAUUCUCCGUCAUAUUCCACGAAGAACAUUAUUAAUCCGUGAUGCCAUCGUUCAAUUAUGUGGAGACGAAGGAAUAAAAAUCAUUCUUUUCUCCUAGAAAGUAAGACGCCUUUCGACCACACCCCGGGUCCAUUUUCGAUCGCGUCGAAAGACCGAUCGAUAUCUCGGUGCUCGGUGGCCCGGCCGGUGGAGACACGUAAUUUCGUGAGCGACAAUGAAGAAAUUUAACUUCCCACGCUGCAGACAAAAUGGAAUUGACGCCGAAAUCUCGCCUUUUGAUUAUCGUGAACAAACAUAAACGGCUCAAUGCUGCGUGUUUAUAUCGAAGCGUGAGCUCGAUGAUAAUUGUAACGAAGUCUGUGGGCGCUGUUACGAAGGCCACACCGUUACCGAGAUAAGUUAACACGCGUGUUAAAGCUAUAUCAAACGAGAAUCGUAUGCCGGGGAAUCGUGAUAACGCCGACUUAUAAGGCGGUCGCAACCAUCGUCUCACAAGAACGAAACCUUAUUUCUAGACCACUAUCUUUGGACGAACUUUGGACAAAGAUCACUAGUUAGCUUCACCAAUUCGGGACUCUCAGCUGGGAUACUUCGCAAGUGAAGAACCGAUCGCCGAACGAAUUACGCCGAUCCUACGCGAAAGAAAGCAUCAUUGAACACAAAGUAUCACGGCUCGACCGUAGAGAUUCUCACGGCAGUCUGGGGUCAAUCCUUUUUCACUUCCGCAAAUUAAUAUGCGAAAAAAAAAAAACAAGAGGCGAUGAAAGGAGGAAGAAGACGCUCGCUGUCCGUGAAUCUCUUUGGAAAGCCGGGCGAGUAACUUCUUUUAAAAUACACAGGAAUCGAGGAGAUGUUCGAAAUCGUCUUUGGAGGAUGUUUAGAGUUUACUGUUCGGGCCGAUUCAUUCGGAGGGCUCGCCUUUAAUCCGCCAUUGGACGCACAUCGCUGUGGGGAAACCGUGGCAAAGGGUGCACUGACCUGUCAGUUGACGCGUGCGAGUUUCUAGGGCGCAGGCAGGCGCGUACACUGUCGAACAGCAGGCGAACGUUGCUCAAAGGCAGGAACGAGACGGUACACGGUACACUGACUGACCGGUUAGCGCUUCUGCGGCACGUAACACCAGGUAACAGCGUCGAGCAGCGCCCAUCAUUCAUCCCCCUCUACCCGAGGUCUCCCUCCUCAGGGCGACAGGCCCCUCUCGCCAGGAUCGGCGCAGAAAAGGAUUCGAUGGAGUAUCCGUAGAGCCUCUGACAAUACCGAUAACACGCUCUGAAAUAAUUGGAUAGUUUAUAGUUAAUAACGUAAAUAAUUAAUUAUAAUAGAGCAUCACACAAAGGGAAAUCUUUUAGUUUAGUUUUAUUAUAUGUAUUCGCAAUAAACGAGAAAUGAAACAA